rnacentral:rRNA from 1 species
AACGAACGCUGGCGGCAGGCUUAACACAUGCAAGCCGAGCGCCCCGCAAGGGGAGCGGCAGACGGGUGAGUAACGCGUGGGAACGUACCCUUUGCUACGGAAUAGCUCCGGGAAACUGGAAUUAAUACCGUAUGUGCCCUACGGGGGAAAGAUUUAUCGGCAAAGGAUCGGCCCGCGUUGGAUUAGCUAGUUGGUGGGGUAAUGGCCUACCAAGGCGACGAUCCAUAGCUGGUCUGAGAGGAUGAUCAGCCACAUUGGGACUGAGACACGGCCCAAACUCCUACGGGAGGCAGCAGUGGGGAAUAUUGGACAAUGGGCGCAAGCCUGAUCCAGCCAUGCCGCGUGAGUGAUGAAGGCCUUAGGGUUGUAAAGCUCUUUCACCGGAGAAGAUAAUGACGGUACCCGGAGAAGAAGCCCCGGCUAACUUCGUGCCAGCAGCCGCCGUAACAC